CUUUGCAAAGUGGGGAGCCAUUGGGAACAAUGACUUGACAUCAGUCUCUUGCUCUUUGUGACAAUAACUCUCUGAAUAUCUCCACCAGGUCAUCCUAGAAUACUUUACACUUCAGUAUCUGGUUUCCUCCACUUACUUCUCUUGGAGAUUCUCAAUAUGGACAAAAAGUAUUUGUCCAUUUUUUAGGACCUCAAAAGAUAUUUUUUGAAUGUAUGGCAUCUGAGUAAGCAGAUCAAACGUGCUAAGAUCUUUUUAAGAGUAAAACUACUUUAAAUAUCCAUUUCAUCUCUAUCACUGAAUAGUAAUUGACAACACUAUGAAUUUGACCUUUCUGCACCUCAGUUUUCUCACCUGCCAAGAUUAAGGUAAUAAUUCCUCACUCAGGGACUUAUUCUAAUUUUGAAAACAUUGUCAUUUACAAAAGUCCCUAGAUCAGUGCUUGGCAUAUUUAAGAUACACAAUUUGUAUGAAUUUCUCUUUUACUUUCAAAGGACCCAAAAAGCAAGGAGGAGAUGGUGAAGCAAGCUCUGAGGGCGACUUGACCGCCUGCAGUUAAACCUGCGGUGUCUCUAGGCAGGACCUGAUUGUGCCAUGGUGAAUCAGUGAAGAAGCUGUUUUGAAAUAGGUGCAAUCGUCCAUCUUAUGUUAAAAGAAAACACAAAAUGGAAAAGCAGAAAGAAAGAAGGACUUGGAGAAUAAAAACUUGGCUUAAGUGGAGGAAACAGAAUACACAUGCAAGAGAGAGUCACUUUCUGAGAGAGCUGAAGACCAUUUGA
rnacentral:lncRNA from 1 species